GGCUUCCGGUUGAUUGUUCUCAUUCUCCUUGUCUCUCAUUCAACUGCCAGGAUAAGGAGAAGCAAAUGAAUAAGAGAUGAUAUGAGAUACUUUUGCUUUUGAAGAAGUAACUUUCCACAGGCUUAUUCUUGAACUGUGCUGGAGGGUUUUCUGGUGCCCUUCAGAGUAUAAGGCCGACUAAAAAAUUUGAGGGUCAAAACAAGUCCAUCAAAUCUAGAGUACGUUCGACCUUGAUGAUAUGGGAUACUUUUGCU
rnacentral:lncRNA from 1 species